rnacentral:lncRNA from 1 species
UCCCUAUUUUAUCCUAGAACUCUCACGUAAUAUAUUUCUAUUCUGCACAUUUAUCAUCAUAUUGAUACCAUUCCCUGAUGUAACUAGAUUUUACAUCUCUCUACGCAUAUCCAAAUUUAAAUUACGGAUUCCGAAUUUGUAAGGGAACGUACAACUCGUCUUAGUUAUUGGAUUUAUAAUAAUAAUAAUAUAUAUAUGCAGACAAGAGGGGUUGCUCUGAUGGUAAGCAACCCCCACUUCCAACCGAGAGGUUGUGAGUUCGAGUCUCCCCAAGAGCAAGGUGGGAAGUUUUUGGAGGGAAGGAUGUCGGGUUUCUAUUUG